UGCCUCUUUGUCUCUAACUAAAAAAAAGUAAAAUUAAGUGGCUCAGAAAAAACAACACGUGUAAAUAUAUGUUACACACACAGAGAGACAGAGAAGAUGAACAAACAGCAAGUGUGAUGAAUGCAGGUAGUAGGUGACUGAGGAGAUGAGGCUUCCUUGCGCUGUUCUCUUGACUCCAGUGUAAUGGACCUGCCUUUUAGGCUUUCAUGACGCAGACUAACAACAGAAUGACUCAAUAUCUACAGCCAUUGUGAAACCACUGGCAGAGUCUAGUUAAUUCCCAUUACCACACACAGCUUCAGAAAAGCCUUUAACAUCUUGUGAUAAGAACUUUAAGACUUAACAUUUGUAGCAGUUUCCUAACACGCAGAGCAGCUGGUGUUGGUCCCGGUCACCACAGUCUAGUCCACGUGCACCAAGGACUUGUCCACUACGUCACUGGAAGCUGGGAUCCAUCUCUGGCGGCCACCAAUCUCUAUAAGUUUGAAAUGAUUUCCACAUAGGAAAAUCCUUCAGUAAUGGAUGCAUAUAUGAGGACCCAGGUUCAAGCCCCUGGCCCCCAUCUGCAGGGGGAAAGCCUCACGAGUGGUGAAACAGGGCUGCAGAGGAAGGCCACUCCAGAAAACCAUUGUGACCAAUUGUCCAGUGGCCUGUGGAUUUGGAUUUUGUAAACUCCUACUGUCCUUUAUGGGUACCACACUGAGAUUGAGCUUGUGCAACCUCUUAAGUACCAGCAGAGGGAGAAGAAAAAGACCAUGGGGGGUGAAAAAAUACUGAAGAUCGGAAAAAAAAAAAAAACAACACACAGAGGAAGAUCGUCCCAAGCAAGGUGCCAGAAAAUUUGAAAACUUCACAGCUUGGAUUCCCCUGUCUAUCACCGCACGGCUCACAAGCCGCUUCUUUAAUACCUGGUAAAUGUGUUUCCAUCCUCUGUCCCAUGGGCAGGGUCCUCUGGCUGUCUGACUUCUUAGUGGCCUCUGGUUUCCAGCAUCAAUUCCAUCAGGGCUGGGGUUUUCCCUGGGUAGUUGUUGAUUUGUUUAUUAAUUCAUUUUUGUCUCAUUUAUUUCUUAUAAUGGUUUCAUCUUUUCUUUUUCUUUGAUAGGACAGAGAGAAUUUG